GUUUGAUCCUGGCUCAGGAUGAACGCUAGCGGCAGGCUUAACACAUGCAAGUCGAGGGGCAGCGCGAUGUAGCAAUACAUUGGCGGCGACCGGCGCACGGGUGCGUAACACGUAUGGAACUUACCCUUUACUGGGAGAUAGCCCGGAGAAAUCCGGAUUAAUAUCCCAUAAUAAACGAAGUGGCAUCACUUUGUUUUGAAAGCUCCGGCGGUAAAGGAUGGCCAUGCGCACGAUUAGCUAGUAGGUGAGGUAACGGCUCACCUAGGCUACGAUCGUUAGGGGGCCUGAGAGGGUUAUCCCCCACACUGGUACUGAGACACGGACCAGACUCCUACGGGAGGCAGCAGUGAGGAAUAUUGCGCAAUGGAGGCAACUCUGACGCAGCCAUGCCGCGUGCAGGAAGAAGGCGCUACGCGUUGUAAACUGCUUUUAACCGGGAAGAAACCCUCCGACGUGUCGGAGGUUGACGGUACCGGAGGAAUAAGCACCGGCUAACUUCGUG
rnacentral:rRNA from 1 species